rnacentral:tRNA from 1 species
AUCUUUUUGGUGUAAGGCACAGGAGAUUUUGAUUCUCCAGGAGGGACUAUCCCAAAUGAUG